GACGAACGCUGGCGGCGCGCUUAACACAUGCAAGUCGAACGGAAAGGCCUGCUUUCCCUCGUGGAUUGCGGGUACUCGAGUGGCGAACGGGUGAGUAACACGUGAGUGAUCUGCCCCCAACUUGGGUAUAAGCCUGGGAAACGGGUUCAAAUUCCGAUAGGGCCGGCGGGGUGUGCCCGGGGUGGGAAAAGAUUUUUCUGGGGGUGGGGGUUGGGCUCGCGGCCUAUCAGCUUGUUGGUGGGGUAAUGGCCUACCAAGGCGGCGACGGGUAGCCGGCCUGAGAGGGUGGACGGCCACAUUGGGACUGAGAUACGGCCCAGACUCCUACGGGAGGCAGCAGUGGGGAAUAUUGCACAAUGGGCGGAAGCCUGAUGCAGCGACGCCGCGUGGGGGAUGACGGCCUUCGGGUUGUAAACUCCUUUCGACCGCGAGGAAGCCACCUGGUUGGAAGGGUGGUGACGGUAGUGGUAGAAGAAGCACCGGCUAACUACGUG
rnacentral:rRNA from 1 species